UCGACUCUCUUAGACCUAAUCCUACGCAGCAGAGACAAUGGGUAACGCUUGAGAUGAAGGGCGAUGAAGGAGCAAUCAAGGAAAACUGGGCGUCUGAAAGCUAACAAGUUCCCACUGAUUUUUGGACUAUCAUGGAAAUAACACAAUUCUACAAUUUCAUAAACAACAAUAAAAUAGGAGAAAACCAAACAAACAAAUCAAACAUAUGCACUGUUUUCAUAUCAAAAAAAUCGAACAAAUUGAAACACGGUCAGAAAUGAAACUUGUACCAACUGAACGGAUCGGAACCAUGAUGCCAACAGAAAACCUUCUUCGAUAUAUUAACCAAGAGAAACUCAAACCAAGCUUUGUACAACAACCAUGACCUUUGAACUAAGAAAAAUGAAACCGGACAAUGAUGUCAGAAUCAAAGCCGCAAACAGGACCUCUUCCCGAGCUCGGAUAAAAACAGGACAUUGUUGGUGCGGCAACAGCGUUCUAUGGUGUUAGGGGUCAUUUUCCGGCAGGUUUGGUGGUUGAAACUAGUUCUCGCUAGGGUGGGGUUCGGGGGGUGUGACGAGGACAAUAGUUCGC
rnacentral:lncRNA from 1 species